rfam:Glycine soja cultivar W05 scaffold4643_4, whole genome shotgun sequence.
AUGGAGCUUUGUUGGAAAAUAUCGAUCCAUGGUUCUUGAAGAAGUAUAGAGAUAAAGGGGUGUGAGAGGGUCCUUACCACUCACACUCCUCCACUUAAAGCAGUUUGUUUUGGCUUAGCUUUGGCUUCUCUAAUCAACAAGGGAUGUGUUCUAAUAUUCUGUCUUGAGUGGUAAAAGCAGAUAUGCUUGUUCUAAGUAUGCCUAACAUAACAGACACUU